rnacentral:rRNA from 1 species
CGAUGAUACGCGAGGAACCUUACCCGGGACCGUUCGAAAUAGCAUCUGACCGGCCUUGAAAGAGGCAAUCCCUUCGGGCGAGAUGUGUAGGUGCUGCAUGGUUGUCGUCAGCUCGUGCCGUGAGGUGUCGGCUUAAGUGCCAUAACGAGCGCAACCCUCAUCAUUAGUUACCAUCAGGUCAAGCUGGGGACUCUAAUGAGACUGCCAUCGUAAGAUGCGAGGAAGGUGGGGAUGACGUCAAAUCAGCACGGCCCUUACGUCCGGGGCGACACACGUGUUACAAUGGGUGGUACAAAGGGCAGCUACCUGGCGACAGGAUGCUAAUCUCCAAAACCGCUCUCAGUUCGGAUCGGAGUCUGCAACUCGACUCCGUGAAGCUGGAUUCGCUAGUAAUCGCGCAUCAGCCACGGCGCGGUGAAUACGUUCCCGGGCCUU